CACGUAGGGUGCGAGCGUUGUCCGGAAUUAUUGGGCGUAAAGAGCUCGUAGGCGGUGUGUCGCGUCGGCCGUGAAAACCUGCAGCUUAACUGUGGGCUUGCGGUCGAUACGGGCAUCACUGGAGUUCGGCAGGGGAGACUGGAAUUCCUGGUGUAGCGGUGAAAUGCGCAGAUAUCAGGAGGAACACCGGUGGGCGAAGGCGGGGUC
rnacentral:rRNA from 1 species